rnacentral:rRNA from 1 species
AGAGUUUGAUCCUGGCUCAGGAUGAACGCUAGCGGCAGGCCUAAUACAUGCAAGUCGAACGGGAUCCGGUGGUAGCUUGCUAUCAUCGGUGAGAGUGGCGCACGGGUGCGUAACGCGUGAGCAACCUGCCCAUAUCAGGGGGAUAGCCCGGAGAAAUCCGGAUUAACACCGCAUAAUACUAUUAGCUGGCAUCAGCAUAUAGUUAAAUAUUUAUAGGAUAUGGAGGGGCUCGCGUGACAUUAGCUAGUUGGUAGGGUAACGGCUUACCAAGGCAACGAUGUCUAGGGGCUCUGAGAGGAGAAUCCCCCACACUGGUACUGAGACACGGACCAGACUCCUACGGGAGGCAGCAGUAAGGAAUAUUGGUCAAUGGGCGCAAGCCUGAACCAGCCAUGCCGCGUGCAGGAUGACUGCCCUACGGGUUGUAAACUGCUUUUGUACGGGAACAAACCUGGAUAUGUAUAUCCAGCUGAGCGUACCGUAAGAAUAAGGAUCGGCUAACUCCGUGCCAGCCGCCGCGGUAAUAC